rnacentral:rRNA from 1 species
AUUGAACGCUGGCGGCAGGCCUAACACAUGCAAGUCGAGCGAGCGGCGGACGGGUGAGUAAUGUAUGGGAAACUGCCUGAUGGAGGGGGAUAACUACUGGAAACGGUAGCUAAUACCGCAUACCAUCAGAUGAGCCCAGAUUGGAUUAGCUCGUAGGUGGGGUAAUGGCUCACCUAGGCGACGAACCCUAGCUGGUCUGAGAGGAUGACCAGCCACACUGGGACUGAGACACGGUCCAGACUCCGACGGGAGGCAGCAGUGGGGAAUAUUGCACAAUGGGCGCAAGCCUGAUGCAGCCAUGCCGCGUGUAUGAAGAAGGCCUUCGGGUUGUAAAGCACUUGCAGCGGGGAGGCGUUACCCACAGAAGAAGCACCGGCUAACUCCGUGCCAGCAGCCGCGGUAAUUC